AUUGAACGCUGGCGGCAUGCCUUACACAUGCAAGUCGAACGGCAGCACGGACUUCGGUCUGGUGGCGAGUGGCGAACGGGUGAGUAAUGCAUCGGAACGUGCCAUUGAGUGGGGGAUAACGUAGCGAAAGUUGCGCUAAUACCGCAUAUUCUGUGAGCAGGAAAGCAGGGGACCGCAAGGCCUUGCGCUCUUUGAGCGGCCGAUGUCAGAUUAGCUAGUUGGUGAGGUAAAGGCUUACCAAGGCGACGAUCUGUAGCGGGUCUGAGAGGAUGAUCCGCCACACUGGAACUGAGACACGGUCCAGACUCCUACGGGAGGCAGCAGUGGGGAAUUUUGGACAAUGGGGGCAACCCUGAUCCAGCCAUGCCGCGUGAGUGAAGAAGGCCUCGGUUGUAAG
rnacentral:rRNA from 1 species